GACGAACGCUGGCGGCGUGCCUAAUACAUGCAAGUUGAGCGAUGAAGAUUGGUGCUUGCACCAAUUUGAAGAGCAGCGAACGGGUGAGUAACGCGUGGGGAAUCUGCCUUUGAGCGGGGGACAACAUUUGGAAACGAAUGCUAAUACCGCAUAAUAACUUUAAACAUAAGUUUUAAGUUUGAAAGAUGCAAUUGCAUCACUCAAAGAUGAUCCCGCGUUGUAUUAGCUAGUUGGUGAGGUAAAGGCUCACCAAGGCGAUGAUACAUAGCCGACCUGAGAGGGUGAUCGGCAACAUUGGGACUGAGACACGGCCCAAACUCCUACGGGAGGCAGCAGUAGGGAAUCUUCGGCAAUGGACGAAAGUCUGACCGAGCAACGCCGCGUGAGUGAAGAAGGUUUUCGGAUCGUAAAACUCUGUUGGUAGAGAAGAACGUUGGUGAGAGUGGAAAGCUCAUCAAGUGACGGUAACUACCCAGAAAGGGACGGCUAACUACGUG
rnacentral:rRNA from 1 species